rnacentral:rRNA from 1 species
GACGAACGCUGGCGGCGUGCUUAACACAUGCAAGUCGAACGGAAAGGCCCUGCUUUUGUGGGGUGCUCGAGUGGCGAACGGGUGAGUAACACGUGAGUAACCUGCCCUUGACUUUGGGAUAACUUCAGGAAACUGGGGCUAAUACCGGAUAGGAGCUCCUGCUGCAUGGUGGGGGUUGGAAAGUUUCGGCGGUUGGGGAUGGACUCGCGGCUUAUCAGCUUGUUGGUGGGGUAGUGGCUUACCAAGGCUUUGACGGGUAGCCGGCCUGAGAGGGUGACCGGCCACAUUGGGACUGAGAUACGGCCCAGACUCCUACGGGAGGCAGCAGUGGGGAAUAUUGCACAAUGGGCGGAAGCCCGGUGCAGCAACGCCGCGUGCGGGAUGACGGCCUUCGGGUUGUAAACCGCUUUCGCCUGUGACGAAGCGUGAGUGACGGUAAUGGGUAAAGAAGCACCGGCUAACUACGUGCCAGCAGCCGCGGUGAUACGUAGGGUGCGAGCGUUGUCCGGAUUUAUUGGGCGUAAAGGGCUCGUAGGUGGUUGAUCGCGUCGGAAGUGUAAUCUUGGGGCUUAACCCUGAGCGUGCUUUCGAUACGGGUUGACUUGAGGAAGGUAGGGGAGAAUGGAAUUCCUGGUGGAGCGGUGGAAUGCGCAGAUAUCAGGAGGAACACCAGUGGCGAAGGCGGUUCUCUGGGCCUUUCCUGACGCUGAGGAGCGAAAGCGUGGGGAGCGAACAGGCUUAGAUACCCUGGUAGUCCACGCUGUAAACGGUGGGUACUAGGUGUGGGGUCCAUUCCACGGGUUCCGUGCCGUAGCUAACGCUUUAAGUACCCCGCCUGGGGAGUACGGCCGCAAGGCUAAAACUCAAAGGAAUUGACGGGGCCCCGCACAAGCGGCGGAGCAUGCGGAUUAAUUCGAUGCAACGCGUAGAACCUUACCUGGGUUUGACAUGGAUCGGGAGCGCUCAGAGAUGGGUGUGCCUCUUUUGGGGUCGGUUCACAGGUGGUGCAUGGCUGUCGUCAGCUCGUGUCGUGAGAUGUUGGGUUAAGUCCCGCAACGAGCGCAACCCUUGUUCACUGUUGCCAGCACGUUAUGGUGGGGACUCAGUGGAGACCGCCGGGGUCAACUCGGAGGAAGGUGGGGAUGACGUCAAGUCAUCAUGCCCCUUAUGUCCAGGGCUUCACGCAUGCUACAAUGGCUGGUACAGAGAGUGGCGAGCCUGUGAGGGUGAGCGAAUCUCGGAAAGCCGGUCUCAGUUCGGAUUGGGGUCUGCAACUCGACCUCAUGAAGUCGGAGUCGCUAGUAAUCGCAGAUCAGCAACGCUGCGGUGAAUACGUUCCCGGG